AUCCGAACCCGAACCGAAUAUCCGAAGUCCCAGCCCUAAUAAUUUCCUUUUCUGAGAUACUUCAAAAAAGGAAAUUCGAAGCGCUGACCAACGGUUGAAAAAAGGAAAAGAAUUCGAAUUUUUAGUCAGUUAAAAUUAAAAUGUCUGGUGCACACAAAAAAAAAAAAAUUAAAAUGUCUAAAUUUAUAACAAUAAAGAAUUUGUCCACGAUUUAGUUAAUACUUUUAAUAUAAAUUUUAUUCAUAUCAUUUAGUCGUUUAAUGCUUAAAAUGUAGUUUGAAAACUAUAGGAUUAUAUAUAUAUAUUAUACAACUUCAAGUGGAAAAAUGUUUAAAAUAGUGACUAAUAUUUUUGGCUAUAAAUUUGUUAAGCAACAUUUUACCCGAAUUCAAAAACAUGUUC
rnacentral:lncRNA from 1 species